rnacentral:rRNA from 1 species
CUCCUACGGGAGGCAGCAGUGGGGAAUAUUGGACAAUGGGCGAAAGCCUGAUCCAGCCAUGCCGCGUGUGUGAAGAAGGCCUUUUGGUUGUAAAGCACUUUAAGCGAGGAGGAGGCUACUUAGAUUAAUACUCUAGGAUAGUGGACGUUACUCGCAGAAUAAGCACCGGCUAACUCUGUGCCAGCAGCCGCGGUAAUACAGAGGGUGCGAGCGUUAAUCGGAUUUACUGGGCGUAAAGCGUGCGUAGGCGGCUUUUUAAGUCGGAUGUGAAAUCCCUGAGCUUAACUUAG